CGCGACAUAGCUUAACUAAAGCAUUCUGCUUACACCAAAAAAAUGUUCGUUUAACCCGAACUGUCCCGAG
rnacentral:tRNA from 1 species